CUUCUACCAGCAGCAGUGAAAGGGCUCAGUCAGGUCAGCAGCCUAGGUACAGCAGUAGUGAUGAAGAGCAGUCAGCUCCUCCUGCACAGGAUGCUGACCAGCCACACGCAGAGGAGGAUCCAGCAGUGUCUGGAGCUCCACCUGCUAAGCAUGUACUUCAUCUAGUGAGCAAAGUGAUUCAGAGGGCAUGUCAGUAGGUGAUGGUGACACCGAUGACAGAGAGGCUCCCCAUGUUGCUCAAGUACAUGCUGCCCCACCUGGACCGCACGACGUUUCACAGUCCAGAGCAGCAGGUCCUACACAGCCUCAACUUAAGGUAUUUCCGCGAACCAUGCAAGGCCACAGGAAGAGGUCCUUCAACAGCGAGUGGUAUAAACAACACCCUGUUUUGCAUGUCGACACUUCUCUUUGCCAAACACACCAGCAUCUGUGUAAUGGAGACCAGGGGUUCCAUUACCUGAAAUAGUCAACAGGGGGCGGAGGCAAAGGAGUGUUGUAGGCCCAAGCACCUGCUUAAGAGCUGCAGGAGCAAACCAUGAAGCUGAGAGGGGGGGGGAGUAAAGCCAUCAACAAUGCUGAUUUAUGUGAUUAUUUUGAGUAUGCUUUAUUGAUUUACUGAUAGAAAUUUGUAUUUAUGUAAAUAUUCAUUCGUUGGUUUCUAUUUUUCUGUGGUGGUGGGUUUUUGGGUAAAUUAUUUAUUAUUCUAAAUGAUGGUGGUCCCACCUGAGUAGUUUUACCCACUUAAUUACCUGCAGGAGGGAGUGUAUAAAAGGCAGCAAGUUACUUCCAGUGCAAGUUGUUUCGUUGCUUGUUGGUGUCGGUGUUUCCUCUUGUUGGUAUGGAAGACAAUAAAUGCCACGUUUGUGCUUGCAUUUUACCUCUGUCUCAUGUCUCUCUCUGAAAAAUGU